rnacentral:rRNA from 2 species
AAAUUGAAGAGUUUGAUCAUGGCUCAGAUUGAACGCUGGCGGCAGGCCUAACACAUGCAAGUCGAGCGGUAGCACAGAGAGCUUGCUCUCGGGUGACGAGCGGCGGACGGGUGAGUAAUGUCUGGGAAACUGCCUGAUGGAGGGGGAUAACUACUGGAAACGGUAGCUAAUACCGCAUAANGUCGCAAGACCAAAGUGGGGGACCUUCGGGCCUCAUGCCAUCAGAUGUGCCCAGAUGGGAUUAGCUAGUAGGUGGGGUAACGGCUCACCUAGGCGACGAUCCCUAGCUGGUCUGAGAGGAUGACCAGCCACACUGGAACUGAGACACGGUCCAGACUCCUACGGGAGGCAGCAGUGGGGAAUAUUGCACAAUGGGCGCAAGCCUGAUGCAGCCAUGCCGCGUGUGUGAAGAAGGCCUUCGGGUUGUAAAGCACUUUCAGCGGGGAGGAAGGCGNUNAGGUUAAUAACCUNNNCGAUUGACGUUACCCGCAGAAGAAGCACCGGCUAACUCCGUGCCAGCAGCCGCGGUAAUACGGAGGGUGCAAGCGUUAAUCGGAAUUACUGGGCGUAAAGCGCACGCAGGCGGUCUGUCAAGUCGGAUGUGAAAUCCCCGGGCUCAACCUGGGAACUGCAUUCGAAACUGGCAGGCUAGAGUCUUGUAGAGGGGGGUAGAAUUCCAGGUGUAGCGGUGAAAUGCGUAGAGAUCUGGAGGAAUACCGGUGGCGAAGGCGGCCCCCUGGACAAAGACUGACGCUCAGGUGCGAAAGCGUGGGGAGCAAACAGGAUUAGAUACCCUGGUAGUCCACGCCGUAAACGAUGUCGAUUUGGAGGUUGUGCCCUUGAGGCGUGGCUUCCGGAGCUAACGCGUUAAAUCGACCGCCUGGGGAGUACGGCCGCAAGGUUAAAACUCAAAUGAAUUGACGGGGGCCCGCACAAGCGGUGGAGCAUGUGGUUUAAUUCGAUGCAACGCGAAGAACCUUACCUGGUCUUGACAUCCACAGAACUUNNCAGAGAUGNNUUGGUGCCUUCGGGAACUGUGAGACAGGUGCUGCAUGGCUGUCGUCAGCUCGUGUUGUGAAAUGUUGGGUUAAGUCCCGCAACGAGCGCAACCCUUAUCCUUUGUUGCCAGCGGUCCGGCCGGGAACUCAAAGGAGACUGCCAGUGAUAAACUGGAGGAAGGUGGGGAUGACGUCAAGUCAUCAUGGCCCUUACGACCAGGGCUACACACGUGCUACAAUGGCAUAUACAAAGAGAAGCGACCUCGCGAGAGCAAGCGGACCUCAUAAAGUAUGUCGUAGUCCGGAUUGGAGUCUGCAACUCGACUCCAUGAAGUCGGAAUCGCUAGUAAUCGUAGAUCAGAAUGCUACGGUGAAUACGUUCCCGGGCCUUGUACACACCGCCCGUCACACCAUGGGAGUGGGUUGCAAAAGAAGUAGGUAGCUUAACCUUCGGGAGGGCGCUUACCACUUUGUGAUUCAUGACUGGGGUGAAGUCGUAACAAGGUAACCGUAGGGGAACCUGCGGUUGGAUCACCUCCUUA